rnacentral:rRNA from 1 species
GACGAACGCUGGCGGCGUGCUUAACACAUGCAAGUCGAACGGAAAGGCCCUGCUUUUGUGGGGUGCUCGAGUGGCGAACGGGUGAGUAACACGUGAGUAACCUGCCCUUGACUUUGGGAUAACUUCAGGAAACUGGGGCUAAUACCGGAUAGGAGCUCCUGCUGCAUGGUGGGGGUUGGAAAGUUUCGGCGGUUGGGGAUGGACUGGCGGCUUAUCAGCUUGUUGGUGGGGUAGUGGCUUACGAAGGCUUUGACGGGUAGCCGGCCUGAGAGGGUGACCGGCCACAAUGGGACUGAGAGACGGCCCAGACUCCAACGGGAGGCAGCAGUGGGGAAUAUUGCACAGUGGGCGGAAGCCUGAUGCAGCAACGCCGCGUGCGGGAUGACGGCCUUCGGGUUGUAAACCGCUUUCGCCUGUGACGAAGCGUGAGUGACGGUAAUGGGUAAAGAAGCACCGGCUAACUACGUG